UUUUUCCCAAGAAACAAAAUCAAGCCCACCUCACGUUAGCAGCACUGACAAGAAUAUGAGAAGAACAAGAAACAAACAUUGGUGCCUGGCCACCCACUAGCUUGUAGCUUUUUGACUUCUAGCAUGGCCUUGAGCUCCAGCUUCCUAUUACAACUUCUGUGGUAUUUGCCAUUCUACUUCUUGGUUUUGCAAAACUAUUUGCCAAAACAUGAUACUUUUGUUUUCCUGCUGUUCAUAGCAAUAUCACCAGUGUUCAUCAAAAUUCAGGAACAGCCCCAUUAGGAUAUAGUGUUUUUAUUUUUAUUUUUUUUUAACCACUUAUGUUGUUGCUAUGGUAAGCUAUUAGGUAGAGGAUUAUAGAUUAUAUGGAGGGUUCUAUAUUGGCAAAUGUUUAUAAAUGUUAAGAUGCUCCACUUUCUGCCCUUUCUGUGUCAGGUGUUAGCUUCAUGCAAUAUCUCCUUUUCCUUAGUUGUAAAUUCAAUCUUGUCAUUCAUUUAUAUGCAGUCACUGCAUUUCUCUUCUCUGCAUGACCAAGGAUGAGAGGUAUGUCUCUUGAGCAAAUGUGCUCCGCUGAGAGAAUCCCCCUAAUUAAACUUUAGGGAAUGAAUUCACGUUA